rnacentral:tRNA from 1 species
GCCUCCGUAGCUCAGCGGUAGAGCGACCGCCUCGUAAGCGGUAGGUCGAGGGUUCAAAUCCCUCCGGGGGCU